rnacentral:lncRNA from 1 species
UCAAAACUGAAGGUAAAAUACAAGAAGACGCUGAUAAGAAAAGUGACACUGAGAUCAAAUUGGACGGGAAAGAUCCAGAAGAAAAUGUUGUGACUGAAGAAAUGCCUAAGAUAGGAGAAAAAGUCGAAGAAGAACAAGUACCUUCGUCUGGAAAACCAGAUUCCAAACCUGGAAAUGUUGGGGUAGAUGAUGAGACACAGGAUAAGCCAGAAAGCAUCACUGAAGCGGCCAAUGGAGCUGAAACUAAUGACGUCCAAGAGAGUAGUGGCAUAUUUAAUUUGCAGGUGAAUAUAGAAG